UGCAGUCGCACGAGAACGCUUCAGCUUGCUGAAGUAAGUAAAGUGGCGCACGGGUGAGUAACGCGUGGGUAAUCUACCCUUGAAUUGGGGAUAACCCGCCGAAAGGCGGGCUAAUACCGAAUGACAUCUUGAAAAUUUAUGUUUUCAGGAUCAAAGGUGGCCUCUACAUGUAAGCUACUGUUUGGGGAUGAGCCCGCGUACCAUUAGCUUGUUGGUAGGGUAAUGGCCUACCAAGGCAACGAUGGUUAGCUGGUCUGAGAGGAUGAUCAGCCACACUGGAACUGACACACGUUCCAGACUCCUACGGGAGGCAGCAGUGAGGAAUUUUGCGCAAUGGGGGAAACCCUGACGCAGCAACGCCGCGUGAGUGAUGAAGGCUUUCGGGUCGUAAAGCUCUGUCAAGUGGGAAGAAACCAUAUGGUAUUAAUACCGCCAUAUGUUGACGGUACCAUUGAAGGAAGCACCGGCUAACUCCGUG
rnacentral:rRNA from 1 species